AUAAGCGCACACGGUGGAUGCCUUGGCGGUCAGAGGCGAUGAAGGACGUGGCAGCCUGCGAAAAGUAUCGGGGAGCUGGCAACAAGCUUUGAUCCGGUAAUGUCCGAAUGGGGAAACCCACCCGCUUGCGGGUAUCCUGCAGUGAAUACAUAGCUGCUGGAAGCGAACCUGGUGAACUGAAAUAUCUAAGUAACCAGAGGAAAAGAAAUCAACCGAGAUUCCGUAAGUAGCGACGAGCGAACGCGGACUAGCCCUUAAGCUGAUUUGGUUCUAGGAAAACGCUCUGGAAAGAGCGGCCAUAGAAGGUGAUAGCCCUGUAUCUGAAAGGGCCAUUUCAGUGAAGACGAGUAGGGCGGGGCACGUGAAACCCUGUCUGAACAUGGGGGGACCAUCCUCCAAGGCUAAAUACUACUGACCGACCGAUAGUGAACCAGUACCGUGAGGGAAAGGCGAAAAGAACCCCGGAGAGGGGAGUGAAAUAGAUCCUGAAACCGUGUGCGUACAAGCAGUAGGAGCCUCGCAAGGGUGACUGCGUACCUUUUGUAUAAUGGGUCAGCGACUUACUGUUCGUGGCAAGCUUAACCGUAUAGGGGAGGCGAAGGGAAACCGAGUCUGAUAAGGGCGCAUAGUCGCGGGCAGUAGACCCGAAACCGGGUGAUCUAGUCAUGGCCAGGGUGAAGGUGCCGUAACAGGUACUGGAGGCCCGAACCCACGUCUGUUGCAAAAGACGGGGAUGAGCUGUGAUUAGGAGUGAAAAGCUAAUCGAACCCGGAGAUAGCUGGUUCUCCUCGAAAGCUAUUUAGGUAGCGCCUCAUAUGUAUCCUCUCGGGGUAGAGCACUGUUAUGGCUAGGGGGUCAUCGCGACUUACCAAACCAUUGCAAACUCCGAAUACCGAGACGGACUGUAUGGGAGACACACGGCGGGUGCUAACGUCCGUCGUGAAAAGGGAAACAACCCAGACCCACAGCUAAGGUCCCAAAUUUUGUGCUAAGUGGAAAACCAUGUGGAAAGGCACAGACAGCCAGGAGGUUGGCUUAGAAGCAGCCACCCUUUAAAGAAAGCGUAAUAGCUCACUGGUCGAGUCGGUCUGCGGGGAAGAUUUAACGGGGCUAAGCACAGAACCGAAGCUUGGGGUGUGCAUAUUUAUAUGUACGCGGUAGAGGAGCGUUCCGUAAGCCGUUGAAGGUGGAUUGAGAAGUCUGCUGGAGGUAUCGGAAGUGCGAAUGCUGACAUGAGUAACGAUAAUGCGGGUGAAAAACCCGCACGCCGAAAGCCCAAGGUUUCCUUGCGCAACGUUAAUCGGCGCAGGGUGAGUCGGCCCCUAAGGCGAGGACGAAAGUCGUAGUCGAUGGGAAGCAGGUUAAUAUUCCUGCACCUCGCGUAAGUGCGAUGGAGGGACGGAGAAGGUUAGGCGUACCGGGCGUUGGUUGUCCCGGGGAAAGGCGGUAGGUUUGGAUCUUUGGCAAAUCCGGGAUCCUCUAAGACCGAGCACCGAGACGAGCCUUUAUGGCGAAGUCGCUGAUACCACGCUUCCAGGAAAAGCUCCUAAGCUUCAGCUUACGCAGACCGUACCGUAAACCGACACAGGUGGGUAGGAUGAGAAUUCUCAGGCGCUUGAGAGAACUCGGGUGAAGGAACUAGGCAACAUGGCACCGUAACUUCGGGAGAAGGUGCACCCUUUUUGGUGGCUCGUGCGAGCUAUAGCUGAAGAGGGUCGCAGUAACCAGGCCGCUGCGACUGUUUAUCAAAAACACAGCACUCUGCAAACACGAAAGUGGACGUAUAGGGUGUGACGCCUGCCCGGUGCUGGAAGGUUAAUUGAUGGGGUCAGCCGCAAGGCGAAGCUCUUGAUCGAAGCCCCAGUAAACGGCGGCCGUAACUAUAACGGUCCUAAGGUAGCGAAAUUCCUUGUCGGGUAAGUUCCGACCUGCACGAAUGGCGUAACGACAGCGGCGCUGUCUCCACCCGAGACUCAGUGAAAUUGAAAUCGCUGUGAAGAUGCAGCGUUCCCGUGGCAAGACGGAAAGACCCCGUGAACCUUUACUAUAGCUUUACACUGAACGUUGAGUUCGUCUGUGUAGGAUAGGUGGGAGGCUAUGAAACCAUGGCGCUAGCUGUGGUGGAGCCAUCCUUGAAAUACCACCCUGUCGUGCUUGACGUUCUAACCUGGGCCCAUUAUCUGGGUCGGGGACCGUGUAUGGUGGGUAGUUUGACUGGGGCGGUCUCCUCCUAAAGAGUAACGGAGGAGCUCGAAGGUACGCUCAGCGCGGUCGGACAUCGCGCACUGUGUGCAAAGGCAUAAGCGUGCUUGACUGCAAGAUCGACGGAUCAAGCAGGUAGGAAACUAGGACUUAGUGAUCCGGUGGUUCUGUAUGGAAGGGCCAUCGCUCAACGGAUAAAAGGUACUCCGGGGAUAACAGGCUGAUACCGCCCAAGAGUUCAUAUCGACGGCGGUGUUUGGCACCUCGAUGUCGGCUCAUCACAUCCUGGGGCUGUAGUCGGUCCCAAGGGUAUGGCUGUUCGCCAUUUAAAGUGGUACGCGAGCUGGGUUCAGAACGUCGUGAGACAGUUCGGUCCCUAUCUGCCAUGGGCGUUGGAGAUUUGAGAGGGGCUGCUCCUAGUACGAGAGGACCGGAGUGGACGAACCUCUGGUGUUCCGGUUGUCACGCCAGUGGCAUUGCCGGGUAGCUAUGUUCGGAAGCGAUAACCGCUGAAAGCAUCUAAGCGGGAAGCGCGCCUCAAGAUGAGAUCUCCCGGGGCACAAGCCCCUGAAGGAACCAUGUAGACUACGUGGUUGAUAGGUCAGGUGUGUAAGUACAGCAAUGUAUUGAGCUAACUGAUACUAAUGAUCCGAGAGGCUUGACC
rnacentral:rRNA from 1 species